AUUGAACGCUGGCGGCAUGCUUUACACAUGCAAGUCGAACGGUAACAGGCCGCAAGGUGCUGACGAGUGGCGAACGGGUGAGUAAUGCAUCGGAACGUGCCCAGGCGUGGGGGAUAACGCAGCGAAAGCUGCGCUAAUACCGCAUACGAUCUAUGGAUGAAAGCGGGGGACCGAAAGGCCUCGCGCGAUUGGAGCGGCCGAUGUCAGAGUAGGUAGUUGGUGGGGUAAAGGCUCACCAAGCCAACGAUCUGUAGCUGGUCUGAGAGGACGACCAGCCACACUGGGACUGAGACACGGCCCAGACUCCUACGGGAGGCAGCAGUGGGGAAUUUUGGACAAUGGGCGCAAGCCUGAUCCAGUAAUGCCGCGUGCAGGAAGAAGGCCUUCGGGUUGUAAACUGCUUUUGUACGGAACGAAACGGUCCGGGUUAAUACCUUGGGCUAAUGACGGUACCGUAAGAAUAAGCACCGGCUAACUCUGUGCCAGCAGCCGCUGUAACAC
rnacentral:rRNA from 1 species